CAUUAGCUCAGUUGGUUAGAGCAGAGGACUCAUAAUCCUUUGGUCCUUGGUUCAAGUCCAA
rnacentral:tRNA from 1 species